rnacentral:lncRNA from 1 species
AUGAGCCUCUUCUAUUUUCUUUUGUUUAUAAAUAUAAUAAGAAGUAUACUAUGUAUCCACUUAAAUUUAUCAAAUAAUAAUAAAAAAAAAAUAAACAUAAAAAUAAGCACAAAAAUAGGCACUAAAAAAAAUACAAAUAUAAAUACAAAUAUAAAUAAAAAUAUAAAUACAAACAUAAAUAGAAACAUAAAUAGAAGCAUAAAUAGAAGCAUAAAUAGAAGCAUAAAUACAAACAUAAAAUUAUUGAAUAAAAAAAAAAAGGUAACAACUAAUUUUUUCUUUUUAACUAAAGUGAAUAAUAUCCGUAACAUUCAUUUUAGUAUAAAACGAGUUAUAAAUAAAAUAUAUUUCACUAACAAGAGUAGUGAUAAGAGUAAUGAUAAGAGUAAUGAUAAGAGUAAUGACAAGAGUAAUGAUAAGAGUAAUGAUAAGAGUAAUGAUAAGAGUAAUGACAAGAGUAAUGAUAAGAGUAAUAACCGUAAUGAAAUAAUAAAACAAAACAGUAUUACAACAUUUGAUGAAUAUUUUAACACUCUUUCAGAAAAUAAUUAUACAAAAUUAGAAGCAGAAAAAUUAAAAAUUCUUAAAGAAAGUGUUAGUAACUAUAAAAGUGAAAUAAGAAACGCAUUAAAACAAAGUAGUAAAAGUGAGUAUAAUAAAUUAUUGAAAGAAGAUAAAGAAGAUGAAAAAAUAAGUCAAUCUGUUUAUGAAAAUUUAAAAAUAACAUUUCACAUGAACGAAAAUAUUAAUAAUUUUUUGUUUACGCAAUAUAGUUAUUUACUAAAUACGUUAAAGGAAAAAUCUAUUAUAUUGAAAAAUGCGAAUUUAAUUGGAAAAGGAAUGGAUAAGGGGAAAGUAAGUAGUGAAAAUGAUACAAACGCAGAAACAAGUAAAAAUGUAGAAACAAGUAAAAAUAUAGAAACUAGUAAAAAUGUAGAAACUAGUAAAAAUGUAGAAACUAGUAAAAAUGGAAAAAUAAAUAGUUUUUUAUCCAAAUUUAUCAAAAAUAAAGAAGACGAAACGGACAAUGCGACAACUCGUAUGGAAAAACAAGAAGAAGCCAUUUCUUCUAAUAGUAAUAUUACUUUUUUGAAAUUAAAAAAAAAUAAUGGCAGUAACGAACUAAAAAAAUAUAAAACAUUUAGUAAUCAAAUAUUUGUUAAUGUAAAAAUGAAAAAUAAUAAUGUUUUAAAAGAUGAAAAUAAAGGUAUAAGUAAUAGUAUUUUUUAUGAUGACAUACCAGGAUUUAAUAGUGGUGUUACAGAUAUUCAAGAUUUUCAGAUAAAAGAAGAAAAAAAUAAAAAUGAAGAAGAAGCAGGGAAAACUGUUUUAUUAAAUAAUAAAAUAUCAUGUUUAGAAUUAUUAAAAGAAAAUGCAAAAAAUUGUAUUGAGUAUAAAAAACAAAAUGUAAUAAAAAAUAAUUUACAAGAAGAUAUAUUAUAUGGUAGGGUAAAAAUACAUUGGUUUCCUAAGUUUAUGAAACAUGUUAUAACAAAAUUACCUGACUAUAUAAAAAUAAGUGAUAUAAUAAUAGAAGUAAGAAAUGGUAUGAUACCUUUUGUUUUUGACGAUUUAUAUGCAUUAAAUAUGUUUAAUAUAUAUACAAAUAAACCUAAAAUUAUUGUUUAUACUAAUGCUGAUCGCUGUUCAAUUAAGGGUAUGGAAGAGUGGGGUAAUUAUUAUAGGAGGAAGUUAUAUUGGUCUGAUAAAAAUUUUAAUAAAAAUAUUGACAUAAAUAUAAAACAUGAUAAUGUUAACAAUAACACUAACAAUAGUAGUAACAAUAGCAAUAAUAGUAGUAACAAUAGUAGUAACAAUAGUAGUAACAAUAGUAGUAACAAUAGCAAUAAUAGUAGUUACAAUAGCAAUAAUAGUAGUUACAAUNNNNNNNNNNACAAUAGCAAUAAUAGUAGUUACAAUAGCAAUAAUAGUAGUUACAAUAGCAAUGACAAUAAUAAACACAUACCGAACCGAUUGAAAAAAAAGUGCUGUGAUUUUUGUUGA